rnacentral:misc_RNA from 1 species
GAUGAAGAACGUAGUGAAAUGCGAUAAGUAGUGUGAAUUGCAGAAUUCAGUGAAUCAUCGAAUCUUUGAACGCACAUUGCGCCCCUUGGUAUUCCAUGGGGCAUGCCUGUUCGAGCGUCAUUUGUACCCUCAAGCUUUGCUUGGUGUUGGGCGUCUUGUCGUAUUACGACUCGCCUUAAAUACAUUGGCAGCCGGCACUUUGGCCUAGGAGCGCAGCACAUUUUGCGAUCGUAGCCCGUUGUACUGGCGUCCAUCAAGAACAUUUACCACGUUUGACCUCGGAUCAGGUAGGGAUACCCGCUGAACUUAAGCAUAUCAAUAAGCGGAGGA